rnacentral:rRNA from 1 species
AACGAACGCUGGCGGCAGGCCUAACACAUGCAAGUCGAACGGGUCCUUCGGGACUAGUGGCGGACGGGUGAGUAACGCGUGGGAACGUGCCCUUUGGUUCGGAAUAGCCCUGGGAAACUGGGAGUAAUACCGGAUGAGCCCUACGGGGGAAAGAUUUAUCGCCAAAGGAUCGGCCCGCGUUGGAUUAGGUAGUUGGUGGGGUAAUGGCCUACCAAGCCGACGAUCCAUAGCUGGUUUGAGAGGAUGAUCAGCCACACUGGGACUGAGACACGGCCCAGACUCCUACGGGAGGCAGCAGUGGGGAAUCUUAGACAAUGGGGGAAACCCUGAUCUAGCCAUGCCGCGUGAUCGAUGAAGGCCUUAGGGUUGUAAAGAUCCUUCAGUGGGGAAGAUAAUGACGGUACCCAUAGAAGAAGCCCCGGCUAACUCCGUGCCAGCCGCCGCCGUAACAC